rnacentral:rRNA from 1 species
CCGAAUGGGGAAACCCAGUGUGAUUCGUCACACUAUCAUUAACUGAAUCCAUAGGUUAAUGAGGCGAACCGGGGGAACUGAAACAUCUAAGUACCCCGAGGAAAAGAAAUCAACCGAGAUUCCCCCAGUAGCGGCGAGCGAACGGGGAGGAGCCCAGAGCCUGAAUCAGCAUGUGUGUUAGUGGAAGCGUCUGGAAAGGCGCGCGAUACAGGGUGACAGCCCCGUACACAAAAGCGCAUGUGCUGUGAGCUCGAUGAGUAGGGCGGGACACGUGGUAUCCUGUCUGAAUAUGGGGGGACCAUCCUCCAAGGCUAAAUACUCCUGACUGACCGAUAGUGAACCAGUACCGUGAGGGAAAGGCGAAAAGAACCCCGGCGAGGGGAGUGAAAAAGAACCUGAAACCGUGUACGUACAAGCAGUGGGAGCACCCUUUGGGGUGUGACUGCGUACCUUUUGUAUAAUGGGUCAGCGACUUAUAUUCUGUAGCAAGGUUAACCGAAUAGGGGAGCCGGAGGGAAACCGAGUCUUAACCGGGCGUUAAGUUGCAGGGUAUAGACCCGAAACCCGGUGAUCUAGCCAUGGGCAGGUUGAAGGUUGGGUAACACUAACUGGAGGACCGAACCGACUAAUGUUGAAAAAUUAGCGGAUGACCUGUGGCUGGGGGUGAAAGGCCAAUCAAACCGGGAGAUAGCUGGUUCUCCCCGAAAGCUAUUUAGGUAGCGCCUCGUGAAUUCAUCUCCGGGGGUAGAGCACUGUUUCGGCUAGGGGGCCAUCCCGGCUUACCAACCCGAUGCAAACUGCGAAUACCGGAGAAUGUUAUCACGGGAGACACACGGCGGGUGCUAACGUCCGUCGUGAAGAGGGAAACAACCCAGACCGCCAGCUAAGGUCCCAAAGUCAUGGUUAAGUGGGAAACGAUGUGGGAAGGCCCAGACAGCCAGGAUGUUGGCUUAGAAGCAGCCAUCAUUUAAAGAAAGCGUAAUAGCUCACUGGUCGAGUCGGCCUGCGCGGAAGAUGUAACGGGGCUAAACCAUGCACCGAAGCUGCGGCAGCGAACGUAUCACUUAAAGCGAUUCAGCGGGUUACGAUUGACGGAGCGAAGCGACGUCAAAGCGUAUACAAAGUCG